CAACAUUUUAAAUCAUCCAAUGGGGUGGAUUCUUUUCACCACUUCAGACAUUGUGUUACUUUGUUCUCUUCGCCGGUUCCGUUUCUUUAACGCGGAGAUGAUGAAUCGUCACACAACUCCCCUUCCUCUGCAAUCAAUCCUCCCAAAUCAAACAAUAAUGGAUUCGGUUCAACUUUCAACCUCUUUAUUUCUUUAUAAAUCUCUUUUUUCUCGGAUAUUCUCUUCUUCUCUGAGUCCGACGAUGAAUUCGAACUGCAAAUCGAUUGGUUCCGGCGAUCUCAACUAGAAGAAACCAAACGUGAAGACCAAUGUCUCUUCCACCGAGUCGAUCAAACGUACCGGCCAACCCUCUGCUCUACUAAUCAAUCAAAGCGGGGAAAAAGGUGUCUCCGGAGCUGUCAUGGCGACGUCCCGACUUUCCCUAGCUGAUAUGAAAACUGCUCGACGACGACAUAUGUUGUCAGACGUCUUUUUCGUUUAUGGUUAACUGAUUAUCAUUUACUUACCAGCUCAUAUAUCUACUGGAUGCUACUGGAUUUUAUUCCCUCGGGCUUCAAGCUCUUGGGGUUCGAGUUGUCGAGCUACAAGGCAAGAACUGGUAUCCACUUCUUCUUCUUUUUUCUUUCAUGAAAUUUAUCCUCUGUAUGAUUGGUGUUAAUAGACGCCCUUUAAAUCGCACGUCGUAUUCAGGUGAUACAAUUGUGUUAGUUUCAGCUCUGUUUCCACGUUUUGAUCGGUUGUGUAGUGAAUUAUUUUGUCAGUGAUGUGCUGUUUGGUUUAGGGGAUUUGAAGAGAAGGGUGACAUGAUUUAAACCAACACCGAUCUUUGUAGUCGUAAGGCAUUAGACAUCUUUAGAUUGUGUUGGCAUUUGUUUUAGUUGAGUUUGGCUCUGUUUCGUGUUGUGAUUUUCUGCAUUUCGUUGCAGAUUCAAGAGCUUAAGCAGUUUCCAUUCUCCCAGAUGUGUUGGUAUUUCUAGGAUACCUGGGAGCAUGUUCGGAUCAAUGGAAAAGUUGAGGUCAUUGAUGCCUCAAAUUCUGACCAGACCAAGCUUCAGGAGAAGGCUUUGUUUGCUAAUUCUCUAAAGUCAAGGCUGAUGUACAUCUGUCCUUCGCCUGGUACUCCUUACAACAGUGAGCAACCAAAUCAAGAAGCUUGCUAUAGAAAGCUAGAAGAAAGUAGAGAGGCAGAGAAAGAGAGAAUUGUGAGGCUGGAGCAAGAACAUGCAGACACUCUCUAGCUAAAAGCUAACGAAGCAAAGAGGAGGCUGAUUGGUGGACUAUUUGUAAAAACGUGGACAGUAUUCAAACUCUAGAUGCAAAUCUGUUUCAUUACUUGAUUUGCUAACGCCACUGUAUGUGCAGGUUGCAGAGUUUAAACACCCCCUCCGUGUUAAGCUAACACCAAAGAAGAAUACUUGUGCUUUCUUCAAAAUAAUUUGAUACUACAACCGCUCGGUGUUUGUGCACCAGUAUUGGAAGGAUUCUAGGUCAGUCUUAUACGUUUUCUCCAUCGAAAUUAUGCAUCGGUGGCACAAAGUACAUGGUAAUCCAAUGAGAGUCAGAUGCUGUCAUUCGAGGGAAGAAGAUAACAUGACUGAUUCUGAUGAAUUUUUUGCUUUUUUGGUAUAAAACUUUUGCCUAUUUGUUCCAACGCAGUUGUUUUCAAUGAAUCAGUGUUAUUUUUUGCUUUACGUUGUAGGGAUCUGGUGGUGUUACAAUCAAAAAGACCACCCAACCUUUGGUAUCUUCUGUGACAAUAUUGUUGUAAAGAGGUUUGGUGACUACCUGAUUGAAUCAGGGCUCUGAAACUUAAACUGAUGCUAUGUUCAUGUCGCCCAUAUUGUCUUCA